CUUGCCGGUCAUAGCGGCCCGGGAAACGCCCGGACUCAUUCCGAACCCGGAAGCUAAGCCGGGCUGCGCCGGGGUAUUAGUGGGGUGCGGGAGCCCCCGCGAGCCCCCGGUGCUGGCAAGC
rnacentral:rRNA from 1 species